UACGAAGGGGGCUAGCGUUGCUCGGAAUCACUGGGCGUAAAGCGCUCGUAGGCGGAUUGUUAAGUCGGGGGUGAAAUCCUGGAGCUCAACUCCAGAACUGCCUUCGAUACUGGCAAUCUUGAGUCCGGAAGAGGUGAGUGGAACUCCGAGUGUAGAGGUGAAAUUCGUAGAUAUUCGCAAGAACACCAGUGGCGAAGGCGGCUCACUGGCCCGGUACUGACGCUGAGGUGCGAAAGCGUGGGGAGCAAACAGG
rnacentral:rRNA from 1 species